rnacentral:lncRNA from 1 species
UUAGACAAUUCACAAGGCAUUUAUUUUUUCUAUUCUUAAUUUAUCAUUUUUAAUUAUUUCAUUACUGAUGGAUUUGUUUAUUUUUUGCCUUUUUAUGAAGAAUAUUGACAUUGCACUAUAUUAUCUGAGAAAGAAGAAAUGCUACCACCCUCGCGAUCAUCCUUUUAAAUGCACAACUAUUGACAUUCUUUUUGAUAACUACAUGGCCCUUGUGUAUAAGGAUUUUAGUGAAGAUGCUAGUGAUGAGUUUUGGUGUGCUACUAAUGACCAGUUUUUUCUAACACCAUAUGUGGGGGGGAGGGGGGGGACAGCCGCAGAUGUGGGAUUGCUUAGAUUGACUUUUGGUGUGCUACUGAUGACCAGUUUUUUCUAACACCAUAUGUGUGGGGGGACAGCCGCAGAUGUGGGAUUGCUUAGACUGAGGUUGAUAAAAUCUUUUUCCCAUGUCGGAUUCCUUCAGAAGAUAACAAAGUUGUGACACAUUUUCUGUUGGGAGUUUUGGACUUGAAUCUAAAAAAGAUUGAUGUAUAUGAUUCCAUAUACAUUGAUCCGUAUGAAGCUGGAAUGAACUAUAUGGAAAUGUAUGUGCGCAUGUUCCCCCACAUGCUAAGGUUUGCACAGUUUGACAAGCAUCAUAAGUGUUUUGGGAAUGUCUUCAACAAGUUUGAUAUACAAUGGCAAAGAUCACCACACCAAACUUGGAUCGUACGUAUUUUUAUUCGUUUUUGUAUUUAUACGAACAUAAUAUUUUGUUGUUUAAUUCAUUGCAUAUCUUUCUCUUAUUUUAG